CAGGGAGUGUGGCAGCUGCAGGGGUCCUCCCCACCCUGCCCCUCUGGGCACCUCCGGGUGUGCACGCAUGUUUGAGCGUGUGUGGACGUGAGUGUAUCUGUGCAUGUGUGCGAGCAUGUGCGUGUGUGUGCACGUGUGCAUGUGUGGAGUCUAUGAAUGUGUGUGUGUGAGCAUGUGUACACACGUGUGAAUGGAUGCAUAUGGGCAUACGUGAAUGUGGACUGUAUGGAUGUGUGGCAUGCGGGUGUGGGCGUGUGUGUGUGACGGUGUGGACUGUACAGAUAUGUGACGGUGUGGACUGUAUAGAUGUGUGUGUGUGUGUGACGGUGUAGACCAUAUAGAUGUGUGUGUGCAUGUGAUGGUGUGGACUGUAGAGAUGUGUGUGUGUAUGAUGGUGUGGACUAUAUGGAUGUGUGACGGUGUGGACUGUAUAGAUGUGUGUGUAUGACAGUGUGGACUGUAUAGAUGUGAGACGGUGUGGACUGUAUAGAUGUGUGUGUGUAUGACGGUGUGGACUGUAUGGAUGUGUGACGGUGUGGACUGUAUAGAUGUGUGCAUGUAACAGGUGUGGACUGUAUAGAUGUGUGUGUGUUUGUAUGACGGUGUGGACUGUAUGGAUGUGUGACGGUGUGGACUGUAUAGAUGUGUGUG
rnacentral:lncRNA from 1 species